rnacentral:ncRNA from 2 species
UAGUUAAAAUGAAAACUCGGUUCUAAUGGGGAACAGCCAUUAGAGGUAACGGGGAAAGUCCGGUGCAAACCCGGCGCUGUCCCGCAACUGUGAUGAGAGUUUUGGCUCUCUUAGUCAGGAUGCCCGCCGAACGCAACACCGCGUC